GAUGAACGCUAGCGGCAGGCCUAAUACAUGCAAGUCAAGGGGAUAGCAAUAUCACCGGCGGACGGGUGCGUAACGCGUACACAACGUGCCCAAGGGCGGAGGAAAGCGGCGGGAAACUGCCGGUAAUACUCCAUGGUGUUGUUGAGUGGCAUCACUUAACAACUAAAGUACAAGCGCCCUUGGAUCGGUGUGCGUUCGAUUAGCUAGUUGGCGGGGUAACGGCCCACCAAGGCUUCGAUCGAUAGGGGGGUGUGAGAGCAUGACCCCCCCACACGGGUACGUGAGACACCGGACCCGGACCUCCUACGGGAGGGCA
rnacentral:rRNA from 1 species